UCGAACGCUGGCGGCAUGCCUAACACAUGCAAGUCGAACGAGACCUUCGGGUCUAGUGGCGCACGGGUGCGUAACGCGUGGGAAUCUGCCCUUCGGUUGGGAAUAACUGAGAGAAAUUUCAGCUAAUACCUUAUAAUGUCUUCGGACCAAAGAUUUAUCGCCGAGGGAUGAGCCCGCGUAGGAUUAGGUAGUUGGUGGGGUAAUGGCCUACCAAGCCGACGAUCCUUAGCUGGUCUGAGAGGAUGAUCAGCCACACUGGGACUGAGACACGGCCCAGACUCCUACGGGAGGCAGCAGUGGGGAAUAUUGGACAAUGGGCGAAAGCCUGAUCCAGCAAUGCCGCGUGAGUGAUGAAGGCCUUAGGGUUGUAAAGCUCUUUUACCCGGGAUGAUAAUGACAGUACCGGGAGAAUAAGCUCCGGCUAACUCCGUG
rnacentral:rRNA from 1 species